rnacentral:rRNA from 1 species
GAUGAACGCUGGCGGCGUGCCUAAUACAUGCAAGUCGAGCGAACAGACGAGGAGCUUGCUCCUCUGACGUUAGCGGCGGACGGGUGAGUAACACGUGGAUAACCUACCUAUAAGACUGGCAUAACUUCGGGAAACCGGAGCUAAUACCGGAUAAUAUAUUGAACCGCAUGGUUCAAUAGUGAAAGACGGUUUUGCUGUCACUUAUAGAUGGAUCCGCGCCGCAUUAGCUAGUUGGUAAGGUAACGGCUUACCAAGGCAACGAUGCGUAGCCGACCUGAGAGGGUGAUCGGCCACACUGGAACUGAGACACGGUCCAGACUCCUACGGGAGGCAGCAGUAGGGAAUCUUCCGCAAUGGGCGAAAGCUUGACGGAGCAACGCCGCGUGAGUGAUGAAGGUCUUCGGAUCGUAAAACUCUGUUAUUAGGGAAGAACAAAUGUGUAAGUAACUAUGCACGUCUUGACGGUACCUAAUCAGAAAGCCACGGCUAACUACGUG